rnacentral:misc_RNA from 1 species
GGAAGUAAAAGCGUAACAAGGUCUCCGUUGGUGAACCAGCGGAGGGAUCAUUACCGAGUUUACAACUCCCAAACCCCUGUGAACUUAUACCUUUACUGUUGCUUCGGCGGGUCAUUGCCCCGGGGAAACAGGCGGCCGUCAGGUCCCUGCCCACCCGGAAACAGGCGCCCGCCGGGGGACUCAAACUCUUCUGUAUUUUUUUGUUUACUGUAUACUGUCUGAGUAAAAAUUCAUAAUGAAUCAAAACUUUCAACAACGGAUCUCUUGGUUCUG